rnacentral:rRNA from 1 species
GCCUAACACAUGCAAGUCGAACGAAGCGCCUUUUGAGAUUCUUCGGAUGAUUGAUUGGUGACUGAGUGGCGGACGGGUGAGUAACGCGUGGGUAACCUGCCCUGUACAGGGGGAUAACAGCUGGAAACGGCUGCUAAUACCGCAUAAGCGCACGAGGAGACAUCUCCUAGUGUGAAAAACUCCGGUGGUACAGGAUGGGCCCGCGUCUGAUUAGCUGGUUGGCAGGGUAACGGCCUACCAAGGCAACGAUCAGUAGCCGGUCUGAGAGGAUGAACGGCCACAUUGGAACUGAGACACGGUCCAAACUCCUACGGGAGGCAGCAGUGGGGAAUAUUGCACAAUGGGGGAAACCCUGAUGCAGCAACGCCGCGUGAGUGAAGAAGUAUUUCGGUAUGUAAAGCUCUAUCAGCAGGGAAGAUAAUGACGGUACCUGACUAAGAAGCUCCGGCUAAAUACGUGCCAGCAGCCGCGGUAAUACGUAUGGAGCAAGCGUUAUCCGGAUUUACUGGGUGUAAAGGGUGCGUAGGUGGCAGUGCAAGUCAGAUGUGAAAGGCCGGG